GCAGAGGAAGAAAUAUUGGCAGUGUAUUAGGGGGGAAGAGCAGCAUGUUGCGCACUUCUUAAGAGUCAUCAACGUUUUCAGUUCUUGUCGGAGGCUUUUUAAGAAAAAAUGUUUUUGCGGCUGCAUUGAAAUCUUAACUUAUGAUUCUCAAGUUAUGCAAGCAAGACAUUGAUCCUGGACUACAUUAAAACAACAAUUCUACAAGAAUACAGGAAGGGAUCUGGGCUGAUUCGUUAAGAUUGCUGGCAGUCAGAUUGUUCACUGAGUCCGGACAGUGUUACAAUGUUAAGGUAUUUCCCUGUGUGGAUGUCUUCAAUCAUACUGUCCCCCCUUCUGUUGGGGGCAGGUGCAAUUGUGUGUUCAGAGAAGGAAACAUUGCUGAAUCCGCUCCCCAGGACCUGGACACAACUAACGGACUGUUUGAUGGAGUGCACUGGGAUGAUGUACAUUAAAAAGUUGCAACUUCAGGACCAUCAUAAUAUAAGGCUCACAGAUUCUACAGAAGGGGAUCUUGGAGAAUACUGCUGGUCCAAAGAGCUCAAGUGCACAGUUGGAGAGAUAUUCCAGCAUGCCUACCUGGUCCUACCUGUGGACACAUCUGCAGUUGGACAUGAUAUUUUGGAAGUCAAAGCCACUGGCCCCACAGCCACCCCACUACAUGCACACGUCAGCCCCACCACAGUUGCAGAGAGCUGCGGCCUUCGCUACGAUGUCACACAGCACUUCAGCAGAGAGACAGCAGGGACAUCGUUCUGCGUACAAGUAGGCAGCCUGGAAGACGCCCUGGGGGACAAAGUUCUGAAAUGUCCUCCCUUUUUGGUCACCUUCUGGCAGAAAAGUCUGAAUUAGUCUAACCAAGGAGGCAUCAGAUGAAAUCCCAGUGAUGGAUGUAGCUCUAAAAUCUUUCACUUGUGCCAAAGUAUUAUUGGCACACUGUAAAGAAAAUGUUCAAAUACAAAAAGUUGUCAUGCAUUUGAAAAUGUACUUGAAUAAAAGUAUGUAAUUCAAAUCAGGAAGAUGUACUGAAAGAUUUACAAGUAGAAGUUCUCAGUGGAGAAAAGUAACUCCUGUGACUUAUUUCAUGAGCUCUUCAUUUAUAUUGUAUGCAAACAAUCUUUAUUCUGUGUAAGUUACUAGAGGCUGUCAAAUUUAUUCUAGAUGAUUGAAAAGUACAGUUUUCCCCUCUGAAGUAUUGUGGAGUAAAGGUAUCAUAAAAGAGAAAUAGAAUAUAAUAGAAUAGACUAGAAGUUUAUUUAUAAAGCACAUUUCAUUACAGGUAAGCUCAAUAUGCUUUACACUGAAGAUUAAAAAACAAAACAUAGGAAUACAAGAGACAAAAUAGCUGUCUCAACAAUCAUGACUAUGAUACACAAAUCAAAAAAGUACGAAAACAAAAACAAAACAAAACACUUACACAUACCCACAAAUACACAAAGAGUAAUUAUUUGUAUGCUUGAGAGAAUAGAUAGGUUUUGAGUUUGGCUUUGAAAGUAGAGACAGUUGUGAUGGACCUCAGGUCAGCAGGGAGUUUGUUCCAGAGAAAGAAAUAAAGUACAUUUACCUUUUAUGUUUUUUAUUUUUUGCUCAAGUACAGUUCUUGUUUAUAGGUAACAUUCCACCGCUGUAAAACCUUUUAGACUAGCAGUAGAGCACGGCCUUGAACCCCAAUGCUCAGUAAGUGUAAACCUUGCACUAUUAAAGCCUUGCACUAUUAAAGCCCGAGCACAAACCUCGUAGCGAUGACUCUCUUGGAAUGCAAGGAAUUACAAUGUUUUCUUUUCGCCAAAACAAUCGCAAUUUUGGGGGCCAUUUUUAUUUGAAUUUUAAAAUUCUGUAAUUUUACAGACUUCGGUUUUGAACGAACCCUUCGCAGGGGAAUUGUUGGAUCAUUGCCAACAUUGGUCAAAUUGUUGUGGACAUAUUGAGAUUCAAAAAAAGAGAGUCAUAUGUCAGCUGAACAUGUAUCUGUAUCUGAACUAAAUUUCAUGUGGUUGAUGAGAGUCCCAACCUGAGCACAAUUGCAUUAGAACUUUUGAUAAAAGUUGCAGCGCCACCCUCUGGCCACAGUUGUCACAUAUGAUUCUCACUUGGUUGGCCAAGUUUUGAUUUUAACAGCCAUAAAAACUCAAACUGUUUAAACUUAGCAAUGAAUCAUCAUUUCUGAACUAGAUUUGUAUGCUUGUUUGGAGUGUGCAACAUUUGACACUCACAGCGCCUCCUACUGGCAAAUUCAAGAAGUGUUUCUACAAGGUUAAACACAUCCUGCUCAAUUUUUUUUUUCAAAUUUGUGUCCUGAGAUUGAGGGCAAAUCCCAACAUACAUGAAAACCUGACAUACAUCAAACCUGACAUGCUCAGGGGUUUGAGCAUCUGUUCAGUGAUACUCGCAGCCCUAGCUCAUCAUUAUUUCAUCAUUCAUGUAAGAUCAGAGUUAAGCGUUGUAAAUGCUAGUGGCCAUAUUAAAGCCUUUAACUUCUUUUUCAGACAUUGCAUAUUGUUCUUAUGGGCUCUUUAGAAACUGGAAUAUUUAGAAUUUGAAAUUACACGCAAGGGAUUGUUUGUAUUAAUUGUCAUUGGAUUUCUAUAGAUAUAUUACUAUAUUUUGAAUACUAUAUGCAGUAAUAUGUGUGCUUUGUGCACCCUGUAUGUGUUAGUCUUGUUAUGGUAAACAUGUGUCGUUAGUGUGAGCUGCUGUUGUUAUCCUGUAAUGUGAAACUUCAAUCAUUAGACAAAAAACCUGUUCAUGUUUUGUUCUGUAUUAUAGAAACAAAUUAGUGCCACCUGCUGGUUAUUCAAAUUAGAAGAAUUACCAGACCACCGUUUUUCACACCAUUCAGCCUCUGGAUGGCAUGCUUGUUACAGGAUUGUGUUGUACUUCACUGUCUGUGCUUUGUAAAAUGUGAAUACAGUUUAAACUUAAGAGAUCUGUGGUUUGCCAGUAUAUAAGACCUUAAACACGACACAUUUUCUUGACCAUUUGUUACAGCACAUUAUUAAUAUGACUUGAUAAAUGCUGCAUGUUCAAUAAAUUGCAACUAACACACUCUGAAUCA